AGUCGGACCAGCAUCUACAAUAACAGCAGUCCCAAUCUAAACAGUGAUUUCCAAAGUUGAAUAGCGUAAUACUCUACAGAGUACCGAAGGCUUUGUUACCAGAACCAGAACAACUGCACUACAAAUCGAGAGGAAUUGUGGCUACCGGAGCGAAAAGGUCUGCCGGAAUAUCAGAAAAUGCAACCUCAAAAGGAUUUCGUGCUAGUUGUGAAAAUGGCGUCGAAGCAAGAGAAGAAACACAUCUAAAUGUUGCUCGCACAUCGCGAAAAUUCAAACUACUCGCACGCCCAGUUGGCAAAAUUAUUAAACGUGGCCAAAUUAACCGUCUCAAACGUAGUGAAAGUGUUUGAAAACGUUUGUCGACUUCCAGGAAGACAGGAUCAAAGGAAGGAAUCGAAAUCUGAAGGCCGCGACGAAAAGAGUGGCCACAAGCUUCAAGCGAAAUACACACAUAAAUCUACCUAAAUGAAUGAGUUGCUAAAUUACAACACCAUCAGCUCUUUCCAGUUUUUAAAAUUUAAAUCUGUAAUAUAAUCAAUCAUCGAUCUGCGACAUCUAACGGAUGUAUCCCAGCGUCUCUUUCUUACAAAAAAUCCCAUCUUACGUUUUCUCACUUGAAUACACAACGACACGCUCUCCGAGAGUUCAUCUCUCAGUAGUCACGUACAAAAGCAUUAUGUUUUCAUCUUUCCGAUUACUGUAGCAAAAGAGCUUGAACAUGAGCUUGACGAUCGCAUAUUUCGUAGCUGCCCCUCCAUGAUCGAUCUCAGCUAGUGAAGUUGCAUAUAGAACAACGUAUAUGGCUACUGACUGAGACAUUCUAUGGA